AAAACCCAAAGGCGAAAUGAAAGUAAAUAAAGAAAUAUGAUUUUAUCAGUUUCCUUUAUAGGGAAGAUGGAUAGCAUGUCAAUAAUGAUAGUAGCUUGCUAUUGUAUAUUAUUAUUGGCAAAAGCUGUCCCGCACUCCCGGGGCGCUUGUUUCUCGCUUUGCGAGUCACUGCGCACCUAGAGCGUACACGCUGAUACCCGAAAGAUGGUGAACUAUGCCUGGCCAGGACGAAGCCAGGGGAAACCCUGGUGGAGGUCCGCAGCGAUUCUGACGUGCAAAUCGAUCGUCGGAGCUGGGUAUAGGGGCGAAAGACCAAUCGAACCAUCUAGUAGCUGGUUCCCUCUGAAGUUUCCCUCAGGAUAGCUUGCGCUCAUUUGAUACGAGUCUCAUCCGGUAGAGCGAAUGAUUAGAGGCAUUGGGGUCGAAACGACCUCAACCUAUUCUCAAACUCCAAAUAGAUGAGAACCCCGGCUUUCUUAAAAAUGAAGCCGUGGGAAUUCGGAUCAGAGUGCCAAGUGGGCCAA
rnacentral:rRNA from 1 species